UAUGAAUUGAUUUCCUGAUGAGAAAAAAAAGGGUGUGCUGGCUGUUUGGUGCAACAAACUCUCUCAUCAAACCAGUUGGAUUAUGGUCUUAAUCACCAUCACGGAUGAAAGCCACCCAGAAGUCCAGGAACUCACCGUGCAAGUGCGAGGGAGCAUCCGCUCCAUGGGAACACCAGGGGUGUAACUGGGGAGACGCAUGUGCAAAAAGUAUGCAGAAUUAUGGCCUUGUAUGGUGGCUGCCCUUCAGUAGAAAUCCCAAAUGGUAAAUUCCUGAUUUAGACUUUACUAGGGGGAGGAGCAGUCCUAUAAAUUUGAAUGGCAUAAAGCCCACUUUUCCCUCCUUUCUCGCAAGUGAGUAAGCACAAAAAUCUAUGUCGUCCAAGUAGAAUAUUAACAAAUUCCCCCGUCUCUCCUCUCUCUCCAAACUUAAGAAUCUGUCAGACUAUCAAAGCAUUGUCAGUGCCAGUAAAACACAUCAUUAAGGUGAGUAAUUUUCCUGUUUACUUCAAACACUUUUUUUCCCAAACUCAAACCUGGGCAGGUCUGAUCAGGUAAGGCUUUGGAACGAGUAAAAGCGUCCCCAAUUUCUACAUAAACGCUGCAGGCCAUGGGGCAAAGACAAGUCUCAACUGCACACUCCACAGUAGUCAAGCUUCCCGGCGCCUCUGGUCUUGCCUCCCUCAUACCUUACAAGUAUCGUCAUGUCUCUUAACCUUCAAAUCUGUCUUAUCUGUAGCACACAUACACACAUGUACACACGCAUCCUACCUGUCUUCUUCCUUUUACCUGUAAUUAAUACAUAUAUACAUUCGCAACAAACCUUUCUAACAAUUCUUUCUUUCCUGUGCAUCUUUCAAAAUCAAUCAUUUUCCACUGUGAGCUCAUGGGUUGUUCAGGCAGAGUGCAAAAGAAAAAGCUUUUCUAAUUGUUAAAACUGCUCUAGCUCUUAAGUGAAGUGGAAAAGAGAUCUGAAUUCUCUAUUGUUUUUUCAAAGGAAACAGGUAUGGUCAUCUUAAAAAAACCAAUAUUUUCAGGACCUGCCCUUUAGGCAAAUAAAUAUAUUUAUUAUAUAAUUUGCAUUUUCCUUCCUACAAAAAAGGAAAUUAGAGAGAAUUGCUAUCUUUGACACCAGGUUAAUCCUUCAUCAUGGUUGGCUUCUAAGGAGACAGGAAGUUCAGUCUGAGAUUUAUCCUGUCUACAUAGACAGUUCAGUAGAAAUCCUUGAACUGACUUCCCAGUCUACAAAAUGGAGCACUAAAAAAAAAGUGUCCUUAGAUCACAGGGCUUUUGUGAAUCCUACUAUUUGCAAAGCACUUCACAUUUUUGGGGUGAGAGGUAUUGGUCUUGUUAUUAAGAUACUGCACUUACAUAAUCCUAUACAUGCUUACAAAUUGGGAAGGCAGAUUUCAAGACAAAGGUACAAUGUGUUUUUUACCCUAGAGAUAAACCUGUUACAUACUGAUCUAAAGCACGCACUUCUUCCUACUCAUCUGCCCUGUUUUCUUCCUGAUGCCAUCACUAUCAUCCCUACUGCUGCCCCCCACCAUACUUACUUUGAUUUAGGUAGAACAGAGAAAUGGAAAGAAAAUAAUGAGGGAUACAGGGCUUAAAUUGAGUGAAAGAUCAUAUUAUUUUCCUACCCCAGGGGCAGGAAUGAAGAGGACAGAGUAAAGGAACCAGGAAUGGGGGCGGGCCUUAGCAAAUCGGAUCCAGUUUAAUUUCUGCCAAUGGCAAAUACAGGAAGACCCAGCCCACCUUUGCCCUAGCUCCCUUGAUCUCAUUUGAAGCAAUUAAAUUUGGGCAGGGAAAAAUGACAGCUAUAAAACACAGAUACAAAACAGUGAAAGUCAAGAUACUCGUAGGAAGGCCUCUUCAUUCAAGGGUCAUUCAUUCCUGAGUUUAUAUCACAGCUUGGCUAUUUAUUUGUUAGAUGACUUUAGGCCUAGAGUGGUAAGUAACUGCAUCUAUAAAAUAUAAAUAUGAAUCACUUACUUUGCAGAACUGUGGUAUGAAUCAGUUACCAUAAUGUUAAGUAUCCUGUGGGUUCUUGGUCUGAUGCUCAAUAAAUGGUAACUACCAAUUUUAUCUCCAUCAUCUAAAUUUUAGAGUUGGUCAGCAUUUGCCAAAUCCUGACACCAUAAUGCCAUACACAGGAGAAUAAGCAUAAUUGGCUAUACUGCCACAGGUAAAAAAAUUAAGUCAAACAUUAUGUUUUAUUAGAAAAUGAAGGAAGGAACAAACAACUUUUUAAAUUUUACCUGUCUUUGCUAGAUCAUUACUGCAAUCUCUGGUUUUCACUGGUAAACUGUGUCCAGCUCCUAUUGUACCUGAGCCUUACAUUGAGGGAAGUUGGCCCUGCACAGCCUCCUUGGAUUCAGGUCUCAGGCUCUAACAGCUGUCCGUCUGCCAGUCCCUGGGGCCGACUAUAAGAAGAGAGCCCAUCAAGCCCUAUGCCCAGAAGUCAAAGCUAACUUUCCUGUUUGCAUUCGCCAGUCACUUAGUAAAGAGAAGGAAAAACCUGAGUGUUUGCAAUGCCUGAGGAUCCAUCUCCCCUAAGGAGAGCAUGGUGACUUUCACAGCAAACCAAGUUCCCGGCCAAAACCCAAAAUGUCAGCCCGGUAUAUGUCAUAAAUUAAAAUCUACCAUUUAUUGGCCCAAUGCUUGCUUCUCUAAUUACAGUGCUUCUGUAAUAGUGAAAUAUGAUUAGGAAAGGGGAGGGGGUCAAACAGUGAAGAUUAGGAACAGACUCACGCUGCUAUUAUAAAAUGAGUACAUGAUCAGAAAACGGUCCAAACUCCACCAUCUAGCAGCCUGGAGGCACAGGCUCCCCACUUUACCGGUGACCUUUUGUGCCCUCACGCUCACCAGAAAGAUAAGAAUAACUACACUGCACUUGGAAUGGUGUCGUGAAGCUCAAAUGGUAUCACGAAAGUGAAAGCUCUUCUUGUAUUAUCAAUGUAUAAAUAAAACUAUUACUUCAAAAAUAAGAAAUAGCUUCAAAGAGAACUGUGGAACUUUCUACUUACAUUAUCCUCUGUAAUAGAUUCAUAUUUUUUAGUCAAUUGAUUGGAUGGAAAAUUAAUAAUGAUGACUAAUCCAUGCAAGAGGUAAUAUUUAAUAGGCACAGAAAAAACUCAGAAGCCACGGAACCUCAAGCAGCAAAUUUUAAUGACAAUCUUCCACUUCAAAAUUCUAGGAUUUUUGUUGUUGUCACAGAGGACAAGCCUAUUCUCACCUAACUAGACUGUGAAGCCGCUGUCAGGGGACGCUGGCAGCGCUGGAGCUGGGAAGGCAAAGCACACGGACAGCAGGAAGACAAGCUGCUCCUCUGAGUCAGCACUUCCAGCGCAUCCCAUCCAGAAAAAGCUGCUCUUCAUUUGUCUUCCCUGCCAAAAGACUCUGAACUUCUAGAUGGAGACCUUGCCUUACCCAUCUUUCACUGCAGUGGAAAACUGAAGCCCAAAGGAACAGAAUGGCCUGGCCAAAACCAUCAAGCCAGUCUCUGGUUCCCUGGGCCGAGCUUUUCCUUCUUUGGUCAAUAAACGUCCUCCCAGAUAUUGCCAAUGCAAGGCAGACCAGAGAAGAGGAGUGUUUCUUGCAUCUGGUCAGCUACAGACAUGUGGGUUGUCUCCAGGAGGAUAAAUAGCCAAGAACAAUCCUAAGGGAAGACAGCAAAGCACAGCACCCCGUACCCCCCAGGUGCGUAAGGAGUGUUGUCAUUUGACGUGUUUGGCACUGCAGUCCUGAUGAGAGGCGGUUCUAAAACAACGGCGUAGGAAAUGAAACAUUAGGAGCCAACACAUCACCUACGGCGAGUGGGUUUCCAUCUCUGAAAUGGACACUGCCAAUCCACUCCCAACCUCACACUCUUCUCCAUUUCCCCUUGCCCUUAUCUCUUAUCUGGUGAUUACGACAGCCUCCCCACAGCUCUCGGUCUUUAGACUUCUCACAUCGACACUGCUACCAGUUAUCUUCCUCCACCAGAGUAAGAUGUCACCCUUCUGCGCCCCCUGCACCUGCCCAUGCUCAAAGCUCUUCCGUAGCUCCUCAGUGCCUGCAAGACUGGAGCCAAACUCCCUAGGGUGAUUCAGAGCUCCUCGUUUUCUGGCCUUGGGGACUUCUUUCCAGCCUCAUUUCCUGCUCUUCCCACAUUCCUGCAAACAUGUGUGAUCCGGAUCUACCAGGCUGUUUCCUCCUGCUAGACAUCCACAUGCUCAUGGCUCCAUGCCUUUAUUCACCAGGAUCCUCUACUUGGAAUGUCUUUUCUCUUUUCCCCAUUGCAAGCCCCUGCUCAUCUACAGAGAGACAAAUUUAAAUGUUAAGUCCUCUGCAAAGCUGGGACUUAUUCUGUUUUCUGUGUCGCAUCACACUUUGUACAGACGAGAUAUUAUCUGACAAAUAUUUGUGUACCCAUUAUAUGUGCCAGCACUAAGAAACAGAGAUGAAAAGAAAAGGCUAGUCCCUCUGAGUUCAUACGGUAAGUGUGGGGCAGACAUGAUGUACGCUGUGAUUCCGAAUAUAUGUACAAAGGGUAAUGAAUGGAAGAGCGGGAACUCCUGAGUGUGUGUGUGUGUGUGGUGGCGGAGGGUGGGGGGGUGUUGGCAGGGAAUAUGGCAAGGAAAGGCUUCCUUUUCAAUUAAGGCUCUUAAAGGAUGAGUGGGAGUCUGCCUUGGCAGACUAGGAGGGUGGUGGGUCGGGGAACAUUCCAGACAGAUUAUGGCACCUGUCACACUGAAUUACAGCUACUUUCAUCAGUUUUCCCUGAUACAUUGUGAGCUCUUUGAAGAAGGGCUAAUGUACCUAUCUCUAAUAUGAUUACCCUACAGCUUCUAGCUCUAAUGAUAACUAGCAUGAAUUAUCAAGGGCCCGCUCGGUGGUACCACUGGACAACGGGCUUCUCACAUUGCACUCUCCACAACCUGCAAGUGGGAUUAUUUACACCUGAAAGAGGAGGAAAUUCGGUCUCAGAAGAGUCUGCUCACUUCUUUAGUCAACCCUCCUAGCAAACUGUGUAGUUUUUCUUCAAAGUGCACCUUCUGGUGCUUAAGUAAUAUGCACAUUGAAAUUAAAAGUGUGGUUCAGUGAACUGCAGUAGACGAGGCCUAAUAAUAUGGGGUCCUCAAUUCAGCUUCAACAAAGGUACCAGGGGACAUGUCAUUUGAUACAAAAUAUAGAGAGCAAGAGAUGGAGAAAUCCUAUGAAAGCCAUGAUAAGCAUACACUUGCUCAUCCCUGUUUGGGUGGGUAGUAAUUCUAGAACUUCAGAGAAGAUAAAAUUUAACAUAUUUCAAGAAAAAUGUUUAAUUCUGCCUUUUCCACCUAAUAACUGAGCUCCCCACAUAAGUGGUAUUUCUUAAAACUUACUGAUAAAGAAUACUCUUUCUCUUUUAACUGUGGCAUUUCGCACAGAUCUGUAUAGUGUAUUCUGUUAAUAUUUCCCUCAAAAAUUGUAUGUGACUUGAUGUGACAAGAAAAGCUAUAAAGAAAAAAAAGAAAAAUAUGCACAGUCUCCUUUCUUAGAGAGAUCCACUGUUACCAUUUUGGUGUCCCUAAAACCAUUUUUAAAGUAGGUAUGAACAAAAGGGAAAUUCAGUUCCUGGAUGUGAACUAAUAAUGCCUUUUCCAAGAAACUGAUCAAAUAUAAUCAACCCAGAUUCAUGUAAGUGACAAAAUGUUUCUGAAUUAUCCAAGAUAGAAGACAGUGUCUGUCUUUGAUGCAUGCAAUAUUUACAGAUGCCUCAGAAAGCACGAAAAGAUUAGGUUUUAUGGGCAAGAAACUUCAUUGUACUAAUUUCCCUUUUAGAAGCUCAGGAGAUUCAUUUGACUGCAAAGAAACUACGUUUUCCUCUUUGGAAGUUUCCUUACUUUUUUUAUUAUCAUGCCCUAUCCUUUCUGUGCUUUCUUUGCCCUUUUCUCAUGUAGCUCAUGCCUUUGGCAGAAUGAAAAAGAAAGAAGGGAGAAAGUGAGGGAAAGCAGGAGUCACCCAGGAGCGGUGGGGAAGAACAGUGGGUCUCGGGAACUCUGCACACUUGUCAUAAAUUCCAGCACAUACCCUCAAGCUUCUCCCCAAAAGACCUGCCAAGAAGUAGAUUCUUGCCACAACAUUUUGCUACUUUUUAAAGCACAUAGAUUUAAGAAGGGAUAAAAGAAGCAGGCUUCUCACUAUCUCUCCCACAGGGCAUUUCCUAUUUUAUAUAUAUGUAUAUAUAAAAGACAAAGGACAGAGACGGGUAGAGACAAUUAAAAAUCCUCUCGGUUAUUGAUGUCAAUAGUAUUAAAGCUCCUUCUCUCUCACUGACUUCUGUCUCCCUUUCUGUUGUUUGUUUUUUGAUCCAGUUUGGAGCAAUACCUCCAAGUAUUUGGGAACAAAUAUCUAGGUAUUUCUCUUGUUGUUCUUUGCACGAAAUCUCUAUUGCAAACUCAGAAACUUUGGAAAGCGUAACUUAUUUGUGCUUAUCGCUUAAUUGGUGGAUUCAUGGACUAUUCCUGAUAUUCCAACUAUUUUUAUAUCCACUUCAUAUUGACAACUGUUUUAAUACCUCUUAGCUUAAUGCUGUCACUACCUUCAGGGUAUAUACCUAACCAACAGGCUAUUCAUACUUCGAUUGUUAUAUGAAGAGAUAACAUGUUUAGGGGAGCCCUCUAAAACUUUACAAAUCUUUUUAAAAUUAGACAUGUUUGAACAGGCAAACAAGUCUUGGCCCCAUCGCAUGCAGAGUGGGUUCUUUGCAGAUGUCUUCCUGCAAGCUACAUCUUGCCUGUUACAAGCACAUUCAUCUCCCAAACUCAUCAUUUCACCUGCUUCGCCUAAAGCAAAGCAAAACACACAGACAAAUCACAGGAUUUAAAAAAUAUUAUUAUUAACCCUUAAAGAAACUCUUACACUCAUUCACUAUCCUUACAGAGGAGAAGAACCAAAUAUCAUAUUUCCAAAAUGCCACUAUCUGAUGAUUGCUCAGUUAGCUUUUUCGCUGUGUGAGGCAAGGACUGUGGGGGAGUCUGACCUGUGUCUUCAUUCUCUUGCCUAUGACAGGACGCCCAGGUUGGCACUGACUCACAAAGCUGGAGACAUUAGCUCAUGGCAAUGAUUCAGUGCUGAGAAUUCUGAUGAAGGCUUCUCCCCUCUGGUGCUUCAAGGGGGAAAUCAGUCCCUGGAAGGUAUGACUUAUGACCCAGGCACAGAUGUUAAGACAUCUGUGAUCGAGUACUCUGAGAAAGGGGGCCACCCUCUUGAGAAAAUCCCUGUCUGCACGGGGACGUAUCUGCAGCACACCUGUUAGCCCUUCUCUACAAAAGCCCUUAUCACUUACAGCCAGCCAUUUCAGCAGUCCAGGAGAAGAGUGAAUUCUAUUCCACAGAAAGCUAGGGCUUCUCCUCAGGGGGAGAGGAAGGGCAGGAGGUCAAGUGUUAGUAGCUAGCAAGCUGGUGGCUUUUAUUCCAGAGGUGAGAGAGCACAGUAGGAAGUUUUGAAAAAGGUUGGAUAAGAAUCAUCUCAUUCAACCGGCACCUUCAGCUUGGGCCUCAGGUAAAAGGAUGUGAAUGUUAAUUUUGUAUGACAGGAAGCUGCAAGCAUUACCUAUGCAGUGGCAGGUGCAUGAGAGACUUCCUAGUUUAGAAAACAUUAGUGCCUCAUUAUCUUAUUUGAUCCUCACAACAGCCCUGGAGAGUAGGCAUCAUUCUCCUUUUCCCUUUCAAGAUGAGGAAAGUGAGGCACCAGGGAGGUUAAGGGAUUUGCAAAGGCCCCAGCUAGAAAAUGGCUGCCAACCCUUUAUUAAAAGAUCUCCUCUAGUAAGAGAAUUAACCACUUCAGCUCCUUCCCUGGCUGUCCAUCCCUCUUCCCUACCUCUCCUGGUAGCUCCUGGAAGCAGUGACUUCAGCAACCAGCUCUUCUCGCCCUCUCUCAUGUCUGUCUGUGCCACAUCACUGAGUAGCGUUCAGCCCCACCAUCCUGAUGUGUGCACUUUUCCAAACAGCUUCCCUUACUCCAGUCCCAUGCCAACCAAACUCUUGUAUGCUACUGAGUUGAUGGGCUUAAUAUACAGAUCUGGACAUGAUAAUUCCUGUGCUCAAAAAAUAUCCAAUAUGAGCACACUGACUGUGGGGUGUAGUCCAAAUGCAUUAACCUACCCAGCCUGAUUUGUCCUACCUUUUGAGCUUUCACGUCUGCAGUUCCCUAAGUAUGAGCACAGCUUCUGGCAGAAGAGUCGAGUUUCUGUCUCAGAACUAGCAUAGCAUGCUUGCCUCCAUGCUUUUACUCCACUGCCCUGUCUGGGAAGAAUGCUCUCCUCCCCACUUUCCCCAGCUGCCUAGCACACAGUAGGUCAGCUGCCCUCUUCCUCUUCUGGUCCAGCCACAAAGACUUCUCUUCUGGAUACACAGAAUUUUUUAUUCAAAGAGAACCUCAAAGGACACUUGAUUCAAUCUCUCAUCUAAAACUUGAGUCAGAGUCUCACCUCUAUUUCACACACUCCUGAGGCUGAGUUCUCACUAAAACUGGAGGCAGUGCAUUCCAUCCCUAUAGAACACUACCAUUCUUCACUUUCACGCUGGGAUCUGUGGCCUUGUGAUUUCCUCUCUUUGGUAGUAAUUGUGCCCUCUGGGGCAUCUAAACAAGUCCAGCAUGUGGGCAGUUACAGGAAAGCAAGCAAUAAAAGAGGAGCUUUGCACAAGCGAUUAACAGCUUCACACACUCAUAACAUGAUUUCUAUUUCUUUUGGGGUUGAGGCUGGAAAAGUACUUCUUCCAAUGUCCUCUCCUAGAGGAUAUCAAUUUUUCUCAAAAUUGUGCUCCUUAAAAAAGGUACUGUGUUUAAGGUACAUGCACACCAGAAAUAUACAGAGCAGUGUACCUGGGUGCCACUCAAAGCCACAACAUAAAUAUCCAUCUAUCUGGAAUUUCAUUCUUAAGACUAGUUUUCUUUUUUUUUUUGGUAUCAUUAAUGUACAAUUACAUGAGGAAUAUUAUGUUUACUAGACUCCCCCUAUCACCAAGUUCCCCCCACAUACACCAUUGCAGU